rnacentral:rRNA from 1 species
UACGUAGGGGGCUAGCGUUGUCCGGAAUCAUUGGGCGUAAAGAGCGUGUAGGCGGUCCGGUAAGUCCGUUGUGAAAGUCAGGGGCUCAACCCUUGAAUGCCGGCGGAUACUGUCGGGCUAGAGUCCGGAAGAGGCAAGUGGAAUUCCCCGGUGUAGCGGUGAAAUGCGCAGAUAUCGGGGAGGAACACCUAUGGCGAAGGCAGCUUGCUGGGACGGUACUGACGCUGAGACGCGGAAAGCGUGGGGAGCAAACAGG